UAGGUAAAGGUGCGAAAGACUCAUCGAACCACCUAAUAGCUGGUUUCCUCCGAAGUUUCCCUCAGGAUAGCUGUAAUGCAUUUAGUUAAGGGGAGUAGAGAUAUGGGUAGAGGUGCAGGGAGCCUUCGGGUUCUCAACUUAUUUCCAAACUUCGAACCUCCUUGUUAGGCAUUUACCUAACUGGAAAUGCUUAAAUGAAUUAGCGUUACAAGUGGGCUCUGACCGGUAAGCGGUCAUGGCGAAAUGGGAUGAACCAUACGUCUGAAUAAGGUGCCGAAAUGUACUAUCACUGAUACCAUAAAGGGAGUCCAUGUAUUUAGACAGCAGGUCGGUGCCCCUAAAAGCAGGUAUCCGCUAAAGAGUGUGUUAAAACUCACCUGCCGAAUACUAGGGCCCCGAAAAUGAAUGGCGCAUAUAGUACUACCGAUCUCAGACAUCAGUUCUAUUGAACUGAGAGUAGGGGGAUGUGGACAUUUUUGUGAAGGUGCAAUGUGAGUUGGACUGGAAGAAUGUCUAUUACAGAUCCUAAUUGAAGUAGCGAUUAUCCAGGCUUGUAUCCUGGGGGCUGAUGAGGAGUAGGGUUUCUGGACAACUUAAACAGAUCCAGAGUUAGUCGAUCCUAAUCUCAAUAAUGGGAGAAAGGGAGUACAGUUGAUAUUCUGUAACUGACAACAGUUCGCGGCAACGCAUACUAUUUUUCUCCGCCAAUCUUAUACCGUUGGUAGGGAUCUCUUUCCUACAUGACAGUACUAAUACCCAGGGAAACUGGUCAUCAGGCGAACUGCGGCGUUCUGCUGGCAAAACAUAGCUUCGGUUAUGUCAAUGGCUAUUGGAUUGGUCCAUGAAGCGAAAAAUAGUUUACUGUGUCACUCGUACCGAUAACCGCAUCAGGUCUUCUAGGUAAGUAGCCUAUGGCCAUUGAGGCAUGAUAGUUCAGGAAUUCGGCCAAUUAGAGCUGUAACUUCGGGAUAAAGCUUGGCUCUGAUGAAAAUCAGAACCGAUUGUUACGCGGAGAGCCCAACUGUUUUAUA
rnacentral:ncRNA from 2 species